rnacentral:lncRNA from 1 species
UGGCGAAGCUUCUGAGCACCGCCUUUGCAGAUGCACGGAGGUCUCUCGCCGUCUGCCCGGGCUUGUCCUCGCUUUUGGAAAGUUCUGGCUCCAAGACCCCCUUUUUAAAAGAAAAAAAACAAAAAAACAAAACCCACCAUUUUAUUUUUCCCUAGGAAACUUCAGCAGUUGGAUUGAGCAUGAAGCUUCCUUUCUCUUGUAGCUAAAUGGAACGUGCCAGGUUGCUGAAUUUUGCGGCUCCGAGGUUGGGAAGCCGCGCAGCCCGUGGGCUCUGGGUGAUCAAGUGAAGCCUUAACGGUGUCCGGAGCUGAGCGAACACGGCGCUUGGAGCAGGGGGAGCGGAGCAGAGCAGAGAGCGGAAGGUGCCGGGCUCUCUCCGCAAACCUGCCCUUUGAUCCAAGCGCUGCGCUCCUCUUCGAGCGCCCCGCGCGAAAAUUGGCGGAGCUGCAGGGACCCUUGGAACAGACCCCCCGCCCCGUCCCAUCGCUCCGGAAACUGGGAUCCAUUGUGCAGAUCAUUGUCAGGGAGUCCUUUCUCCAUCUGAUGAAAACCUGCUAAGAAAUGAUCCUGCUCCUCGUACCUGUUCAAGUCCCCUGGCUGAAAAGAACUGACCUGGGAAUGCCCAAGGUAUGAGAAGAGCCGU